UAACACGUGGGCAAUCUGCCCUUCACUCUGGGACAAGCCCUGGAAACGGGGUCUAAUACCGGAUAUGACUUUCCCUGGCAUGGGGGGGGGUGUAAAGCUCCGGCGGUGAAGGAUGAGCCCGCGGCCUAUCAGCUUGUUGGUGAGGUAAUGGCUCACCAAGGCGACGACGGGUAGCCGGCCUGAGAGGGCGACCGGCCACACUGGGACUGAGACACGGCCCAGACUCCUACGGGAGGCAGCAGUGGGGAAUAUUGCACAAUGGGCGAAAGCCUGAUGCAGCGACGCCGCGUGAGGGAUGACGGCCUUCGGGUUGUAAACCUCUUUCAGCAGGGAAGAAGCGAAAGUGACGGUACCUGCAGAAGAAGCGCCGGCUAACUACGUGCCAGCAGCCGCGGUAAUACGUAGGGCGCAAGCGUUGUCCGGAAUUAUUGGGCGUAAAGAGCUCGUAGGCGGCUUGUCACGUCGAUUGUGAAAGCUCGGGGCUUAACCCCGAGUCUGCAGUCGAUACGGGCUAGCUAGAGUGUGGUAGGGGAGAUCGGAAUUCCUGGUGUAGCGGUGAAAUGCGCAGAUAUCAGGAGGAACACCGGUGGCGAAGGCGGAUCUCUGGGCCAUUACUGACGCUGAGGAGCGAAAGCGUGGGGAGCGAACAGGAUUAGAUACCCUGGUAGUCCACGCCGUAAACGGUGGGAACUAGGUGUUGGGCAACAUUCCACGUUGUCCGUGCCGCAGCUAACGCAU
rnacentral:rRNA from 1 species